AAUCAUAUGGAGAAGCCUGCUGUGCGUAGCUCUGCGUAGCCUGACGCGCACCUCGCAAAAAUGUUAACAGCGCGUCAAAUCUACGCUGACCGCAAGCGCUGUGAUUGGUCCACCAGAACCCCUCCCGUCAGUUGAGCAAGCCAAGCUGAAGUAGAGACGCCAGAGCCGUUAUAAUCAUGAACAUGAGGAGUCCUCCACGUCGACCCAUCAAACCCACAGCAGGGCACAGCGCCACGCAGGACGCCACGGUGAUGCCCGCCAUGGUGUAGUAGUCAGCAUAGAAGUUAUGAAACAUGGUGGUUGUCUCCAUGUUUGGGUCCAUCAUACUGCGUGCGAAGCAGUGGUGGAUGCCAUAACCUGCUAGUCUGAGAGAAGAAUUGAGAGAAUUACGUGAAGUGGAACUAAAACAUAACCGGGGAAUACUACAGACUUGAAGAGAACUACAACAUAAUGUUUAUUUGUAAUAAAACUACAUCUCUUUCAAACAUUUUAAGUAUGCGAAGAGCACUGUAAAUAAUAAAUCCCAUCAGCAGGUCUCUAGUAUGUGGAAGAAAGCCCAUUGAUUCAAUACUUAGAUGCUCUGGU